rnacentral:rRNA from 1 species
AAAGGAAUUGACGGGGGCCCGCACAAGCAGUGGAUUAUGUGGUUUAAUUCGAAGCAACGCGAAGAACCUUACCAGGGCUUGACAUCCAACUAACGAAGCAGAGAUGCAUUAGGUGCCCGCAAGGGAAAGUUGAGACAGGUGGUGCAUGGUUGUCGUCAGCUCGUGUCGUGAGAUGUUGGGUUAAGUCCCGCAACGAGCGCAACCCUUAUUGCUAGUUGCUACGCGAGAGCACUCUAGCGAGACUGCCGUUGACAAAACGGAGGAAGGUGGGGACGACGUCAAAUCAUCAUGCCCCUUAUGUCCUGGGCGACACACGUAAUACAAUGGCGCAAAACAGAGCGAAGCAAGACCGCGAGGUGGAGCGAAUCGCUAAAAGGCGUCUCAGUUCGGAUUGCAGGCUGCAACCCGCCUGCAUGAAGUCGGAAUUGCUAGUAAUCGCGGAUCAGCAUGCCGCGGUGAAUACGUUCCCGGGCCUUGUACACACCGCCCGU